rnacentral:rRNA from 1 species
UAGGGAAUCUUCCACAAUGGACGAAAGUCUGAUGGAGCAACGCCGCGUGAGUGAAGAAGGUUUUCGGAUCGUAAAACUCUGUUGUUGGAGAAGAACGUAUUUGAUAGUAACUGAUCAGGUAGUGACGGUAUCCAACCAGAAAGCCACGGCUAACUACGUGCCGG